rnacentral:rRNA from 1 species
UACGUAGGGUGCUAGCGUUGUCCGGAUUUAUUGGGCGUAAAGGGUGCGUAGGCGGCGCGGUAAGUCGGGUGUGAAAUCUCGGAGCUUAACUCCGAAACUGCAUUCGAUACUGCCGUGCUUGAGGACUGGAGAGGAGACUGGAAUUUACGGUGUAGCGGUGAAAUGCGUAGAUAUCGUAAGGAAGACCAGUGGCGAAGGCGGGUCUCUGGACAGUUCCUGACGCUGAGGCACGAAGGUCAGGGGAGCAAACGGG